rnacentral:tRNA from 1 species
GCAGUGGUGGUUCAGUGGUAGAAGUCUCACCUCCCAUGCAGGAGACCUGGGUUCGAUUCCUGGCCAGUGCA